CACGUAGGGCGCAAGCGUUGUCCGGAAUUAUCGGGCGUAAAGAGCUCGUAGGCGGUCUGUUACGUCUGCUGUGAAAACCCUGGGCUUAACCCUGGGCUUGCAGUGGAUACGGGCAGACUAGAGGCAGGUAGGGGAGAAUGGAAUUCCCGGUGUAGCGGUGAAAUGCGCAGAUAUCGGGAGGAACACCGGUGGCGAAGGCGGUUCUCUGGGCCUGACCUGACGCUGAGGAGCGAAAGCGUGGGGAGCGAACAGG
rnacentral:rRNA from 1 species